UGACCAACUGAGACGGUAAAAAAAUUAAAUUCUUGCAAUUUAUUAUUAUACUACUGGUUGGGCUAUACCACCAAUAAUAUAAUUUUAUUCUUAUAAUUGUAUUUAAAUUCUGUUAUUUAUAAUGGUACCAUUUAUCCUUGUUAAUCUUACAAGACUUGGUGGGAACUUUUAUCGCUUAUUAAAUUGUUGAAAUAACCUGUAUACGCGGCAUACCCUAUACAUAACCUGUAUAAGUGGCAUACCCUGUACUUGGUGAAAUCUUUUUAUUAUUUCCGCAUUUAAUAUUAUGUCGGAAUAUCCUGUCGGUGUGAAUUUCACCUGACCUGGUUCCAAAUUUAUUAUUCCGCAUUUACGAUUCUGUCGGAAUAUCCUGUCUGUGUGUUUUACACCGGACCUGGUUCCGUCUUUAUUAUUCCGCAUUUAUUAUUCUGUUGAGAAUAACCUGUCUGUGCGGUCGAUCUAUCGCAUGCAUGGUGAAAUUCUUAUGUUAUUCCAUUAUUUAUUAUUCUGUUGGAAUAAUCUGUCUAUGCGAACUACCGCAUGCCGGGUGAAGAUCCAUUUGCAAUUUUGUAUAUAUAUAUAUUUUUAUAAUUGUAUAUAUACAUUAACGAUUGCAUAGUCUUUUUACUAAAAUAAUAUGCUAAUAAUAUAAAUAUAAGAUUAUUUAUAUUUGCAUUUUAUCACCACUUGAGGUUGUGGUAUAGUUUAUUUUUCCUAUAUCAUACAUACAAUUAUUUAUUGUUUUAAUAAAUAAUAGAAUUGUGUUUUAACCCAGAAUAGAUGGCAAGUUUGGUAAAAAUAAAAUUUUCAAUUUUAAAAUCCCUUGAGACAACUAUUUAGUUUGGGCACUUGAUGCAGAAUUGCACCUUAGUGCAAAUGAGUUAGAAAAGACAAUUACAAAAUAUAGUUCUAAUGUUUAUAGAAUAAACAUCUAUUUUUGUCUUUAUGUGGAGAUCCAGUUUUUGAAACCCAAAUGUUAUAAGAAAAAAAAAACACUCUCAACUUUUCAUCCCACCAACAUGAUUUUGUCACAAUAAUAUAGACAGAGUAAGUUCACAAAAUUCAGUGACUUAUUGCUUAUCCUCCUUGUUGCAGAAAAGAAUAAUGAAUUGUUGUUGAAAAACCAUCAAGUGCGGCCAACGGGUGUUACCCCAUUGCCGGAUAUUAAUAGCACGUCAUUCCAGCAGAAUAAACGUGACUAUAAAUGGCCAUAUAAUAAGAAGCCUUGGGGACGAAAGAAUAAACGAGGCCAUCAUAACAACAAAUUCUAGAACCGCGACAAUUCAGACCACCAGAAGUGGCAAGUGUAUGAGUUG
rnacentral:lncRNA from 1 species